rnacentral:rRNA from 1 species
GAUGAACGCUGGCGGCGUGCCUAAUACAUGCAAGUCGAGCGAACAGACGAGGAGCUUGCUCCUCUGACGUUAGCGGCGGACGGGUGAGUAACACGUGGAUAACCUACCUAUAAGACUGGGAUAACUUCGGGAAACCGGAGCUAAUACCGGAUAAUAUAUUGAACCGCAUGGUUCAAUAGUGAAAGACGGUUUUGCUGUCACUUAUAGAUGGAUCCGCGCUGCAUUAGCUAGUUGGUAAGGUAACGGCUUACCAAGGCAACGAUGCAUAGCCGACCUGAGAGGGUGAUCGGCCACACUGGAACUGAGACACGGUCCAGACUCCUACGGGAGGCAGCAGUAGGGAAUCUUCCGCAAUGGGCGAAAGCCUGACGGAGCAACGCCGCGUGAGUGAUGAAGGUCUUCGGAUCGUAAAACUCUGUUAUUAGGGAAGAACAAAUGUGUAAGUAACUGUGCACGUCUUGACGGUACCUAAUCAGAAAGCCACGGCUAACUACGUG